rnacentral:rRNA from 1 species
CCUACGUGAGGCUGCAGUGGGGAAUAUUGGACAAUGGGGGGAACCCUGAUCCAGCGACGCCGCGUGAGUGAAGAAGUAUUUCGGUAUGUAAAGCUCUAUCAGCAGGGAAGAAAGAAAUGACGGUACCUGACUAAGAAGCACCGGCUAACUACGUGCCAGCAGCCGCGGUAAUACGUAGGGGGCAAGCGUUAUCCGGAUUUACUGGGUGUAAAGGUAGCGUAGACGGCGAUGCAAGUCUGAAGUGAAAGGCGGGGGCCCAACCCCUGGACUGCUUUGGAAACUGUAUGGCUGGAGUGCAGGAGAGGUAAGUGGAAUUCCUAGUGUAGCGGUGAAAUGCGUAGAUAUUAGGAGGAACACCAGUGGCGAAGGCGGCUUACUGGACUGUAACUGACGUUGAGGCUCGAAAGCGUGGGGAGCAAACAGGAUUAGAUACCCUUGUAGUC